AACGAACGCUGGCGGCAGGCUUAACACAUGCAAGUCGAACGCCCCGCAAGGGGAGUGGCAGACGGGUGAGUAACGCGUGGGAACAUACCCUUUUCUACGGAAUAGCUCUGGGAAACUGGAAUUAAUACCGUAUACGCCCUACGGGGGAAAGAUUUAUCGGGGAAGGAUUGGCCCGCGUUGGAUUAGCUAGUUGGUGGGGUAAAGGCCUACCAAGGCGACGAUCCAUAGCUGGUCUGAGAGGAUGAUCAGCCACAUUGGGACUGAGACACGGCCCAAAUUCUUACGGGAGGCAGCAGUGGGGAAUAUUGGACAAUGGGCGCAAGCCUGAUCCAGCCAUGCCGCGUGAGUGAUGAAGGCCUUAGGGUUGUAAAGCUCUUUCACCGAUGAAGAUAAUGACGGUAGUCGGAGAAGAAGCCCCGGCUAACUUCGUG
rnacentral:rRNA from 1 species